rnacentral:rRNA from 1 species
UACGUAUGGGGCAAGCGUUAUCCGGAUUUACUGGGUGUAAAGGGAGCGUAGGCGGCCUGGCAAGCCUGAUGUGAAAUACCGGGGCCCAACCCCGGGGCUGCAUUGGGAACUGCCAGGCUGGAGUGCCGGAGAGGCAGGCGGAAUUCCUAGUGUAGCGGUGAAAUGCGUAGAUAUUAGGAGGAACACCAGUGGCGAAGGCGGCCUACUGGACGGUGACUGACGCUGAGGCUCGAAAGCGUGGGGAGCAAACAGG